rnacentral:lncRNA from 1 species
UCGGCAGGUACAUCCUAAGAGAGAUCCGACACACUGUAAACGGCGUUGAGGUCGUAAUACCGCGCGUCGUUCCGGUUUUAAGAGGCGAUGCAUUGCCGAUCCUGUUUCCGAACCUGCCGAAGUACGUUUCAAAAACGUUGGCAACGGAAAGAAAGUAGCGAAGAAGCGGUUCACAGAAUUCUGAACCUCCGAAGAAGACGCGCACGGAACUAUAUAGCAUCAGUAUGUUCGCAGGAAGAUGGAACGACAGCAGAUGUGGAGGAAGCGGCCGGAGAUGGACCUGCCGAGCACUUCAUUUAUAACUUGCGACACCCAUCAGAACAUUGGUGUAUCGAAACAUUCAGGAGCAAAAAUGCAAUUUCCUACCAAACAGCAGGAUAUGUGAUCAGUGAGAUUCCACCGGUUGUUUUUCAGAAAAUUGUUUUGUUCGAACUGCAGGAAGAAAAAAGCACUGUGAAGUGCAACAUCUUCGUCUCAGGCUUCUUACAUUGUCGACGUGACAUUCAGUCGAAAGAAGAAGCGCAGGAAGUUCUUUUAUACACAGCGAAUCUCCGAGUUUGUUGUGGUGUCCGGAGGAUGCAAGAGUUCCAGCAAGUGAACCCGGUCCAAUGUCACGAAAUCAAUAGGACUAAGCCAGUUCCUGCGAUGUAUUUGUUUCACAGGGGGUAUCCAUCCAUUCUGCCCAACAGUACUCUGCUUGCAAUAGAGCAAGGAAAACUUCAUUGAUGCACAUGCUAGAAUAAAGCCCGUCAGCCACUUCUGCACACUGCAAGAAAAGACUCAGAUAUGCUGUGUGUACCAUGAGAAGCGCAAACACGAAGGUACAGGUCCUGUGUAGUAACUUUGAGAGUCUCCAAGAAGAAAAUUCUGCAACAGAGGCAACUGUCCUUGAAAAAAAAAAAAAAAAAACGUACCGCCUGUUCAUUCUGUUUUGGUUAUCUAUACCCAACACUCUUCCUAAAUGGAAUUUGUUCCUUUUCUAGAUCCGUCAGCUUCCCAAGAAAAGCAGAAUGUUGUGCGAAGCUGCUUGUAGCCUCCAAACGACGGUACCUCGAUGGGUACAAAUAUUGUAAAGAGUGGCUUUUAGAGUGAAUUAUUCUGAGAAUGAAGACCACUCGUUUAUAUGAGCACUCGAGAUGCCACCAAAUCCAAGCACUCCCCAGUCGUGCUUGCCUACAGAAACGUAUAAAGGCAUUCAAAGCCUCGUACGGUUUCAACCGCAAGGUCCUUGACUGUGUAAA